UAGGGCUGCACUUGUGGUAUGUGGAAGUUCCCAGGCUUGGGGUCAAAUCAGAGCUGUAGCUGCCGGCCUAUACCACAGCCACAGUAGUGUGGGAUCUGAGCCACAUCUGCGACCUACACUACAGCUCAUGGCAGCACCAGAUCCUUAACCUUCUGAGCAGAGCCAGAGAUUGAACCUGCAUCCUCAUGGAUACUAGUUGGGUUUGUUACCACUGAACCACGAUGAGAACUCCAGAAAGGUCAUUUUCUAAGUUGGUGAGGAUAAGAGCUUGAGCUGUGUGGAAUAGACUUAUAAUCUUGAGCUUAACUGGGGAUGGACGAAUAUCCCAAAUAGUUACCAUUUCUCAUAGAGCUAUGCACUUUUGGUUCACUUUAUUUUGCAUUUAUGAAUGACUAGCACUAAAACAAUACCAACUAGCCUCUGAAAUAUUGAUUUGUCACGGAUACUUUUUGGCUAAUUUAUAGGUUCCUUUAGCAUUGGAUGGAAACAGGAGCUUGUUUUUCAGCUACAGAGUAUUUGGUGAUUUAAUUUGGUGUUAAGAAUUCUGGAAAGCAUUUGUCUCAUUGUCACUUGGAUUCUUAUUAGAGAUAUUUUUAUGCUGAAUGUGGUGAACUGGGCUGUUUUAUGCAGUUUUUAAUCUAUUUUGUAUGUUAAUCAUCCACCCUGGCUUAUAUGCAAGACCAUUUUUAAGUUUCACAGUCUGUGUAUGAGAAUUGUGGAAUCACCCAGUAGUGCCCAAGGGCUCCAGAGAGUGUUUCAAGGAAUUAGGUCUUGCUAGGCCAACCUGACUUGUAAUUUAUCACUGGUCCAAACCAGGGGUUUAUUUGCUAGAUACAAGGGGAAAAGAAAACUUCAAUAUGGUUCAACUAAUAUAUAUUGGACAUCUUCUCUGGACUAAGCAUUCGUCCAGGUGCUGAGUUGGCAAAUGGAAAAUGGAUCCAAAAGUGAAACUUAUAUUCUUACUAUAAACAAGUUUGGGUGAGUUGAAUAUUAAACACGAAAAAUUUAAAAAGUAAGUAGCUAAUGGGUAGCUCAUUCUCCAGCUGCAAUUAUAAACAUACUUGAGGUAUUGUUGGUGUGUCCUGGCUCUAGUACUUGGGGUUUAGGUCUCCAUAAGCUCCCACUUUUGCUAGCUUCCUAAUUACUGGGCCUCCUCCCCCUUGCCUUGGUGGUUCUAUCCAGUCCUUGUUCUUUAAGAGUGACUGAGUGUUGCUCCUCUUUGUGGAAAGCUUAGGAGGCUAAGCAGAGUGUACCCCUAGGAAACCUGUUACUUUGGUGUGACAGGCAGAAUUCUGGGGCCCCAGAGACAUCCAUGUUUUAAUCCCUGGAACCUGCGACUGCAUUACUUUACAAGGGGAUAGGGAUUUAGCAGGGAUGAUUAAGUUAAGGACCUUGACAUGGGGAGAUUUUCCAUGAUUAUCAAGUGGACUCAAUCUAAUACAUGAAUUCUCAGAGGUGGAGAUCCUUUCUUGGCUCUGAUCAGAGGGACUUGUCAUGAAGAAGACUGGUCAGAGAGAUGCAGAUUUGCUUCAAAGAUGGAAGGAGGGGGCCACUUGCCAAGGAAUGUUGGUGGCCUCUAGCAGCUGGAAAAGGCCAAUGGGUUCUUCCUCAGGGCCUCUAGAAAGGAAUCUAGACCCACCAACACUUGAAUCUUUGUCCAGUGUCCUACGUCUGACCCACUAAACUGUAAGAUAAUACAUUUGUGUAUGCCACUAAGUUGGUGGUAAUUUGUUACAGCAGCAAUACAGAACAAUUGCAGUUGAUCACGUGGUUAUCUUAGUAUCUCAUGAAUAUUCUACAAUAAUAUAAGCAACACAUUUAAAGAGCCUUCUUAAGGAUAUAUGUUUGUAUAGUGCUUCUCAGCAGAGACUCUUGGAAGCUGUCAUUAGACUUUGUGGAGUGAAGAGCACAGUGUUGGCUAGAGAGAGGGGAUGUUCUUCACUAAACUGAAGUUCUAGGAGCACAGAUUGAUGAUUUAUUCUUCCUUGUUGUUAAAGAUUAUUGAGUUUAGGAUUGGUAGCUGUAAAGUGCUUAUUCUGAUGGCUGGCACACAUUGGCUGUUUAACCAAUGGUCAUAAAGAUAAAGAUUUUUAAACUGUUGUGUUUCAAUUAUUUGGCAAAACUAUCUUUUUUUUUUUUUUUUUUUUUUGUCUUUUUGCCAUUUCUUGGGCCACUCCCGCUGCAUAUGGAGGUUCCCAGGCCAGGGGUCAAAUUGGAGCUGUAGCCACCGGCCUACUUCAGAGCCACAGCAAGGUGGGAUUCGAGCUGCAUCUGCGACCUACACCACAGCUCACGGCAACACUGGAUUCUUAACCCACUGAGCAAGGCCAGGGAUCAAACCUGCAACCUCAUGGUUCUUAGUCAGAUUCGUUAACCACUGUACCACGAAGGGAACUCCAAAACUAUCUCUCUUAUUAGCAUACAUAGCUGGACACAUGGGCAAAAAUACAAUUUGUCUCCUGUGAAAGCUAAACCCUCUUCUUCAAAAAGAGAGAGGUAAAAUCUAUAGUAGUGGGAGACAGCCUUGUCGAGUAAUUAGAGUCAAGCCUUGGAGUGAGAUUGCUUUUAUUUGAAUCCCAGUUCCACCACUAAUUACUUUAUAACUUCAUUGUUUUCACCCCUGAAGUGGGUUAAUCAUAUGGACUUCCAUAUGGACUUCUAAUUAUUGUCUGUAUUAGAAUUAUAUGAGGUAAUGCCUAGAAAGCUUCUAGCCAUAGCAAUUACUCAUUAAAUAUUAGGCAUAGAUAGCUCAAGGAACUUUAUGAUUAAAUCUUUGAUCAAAAAUAAUAAUUUUAAUAAAAACUUUUCCAACUUACAAACCCUUUGAUUGACCAUAUAUCAUUUUACUCUUUCAACAUCCUAGAGAUGGGUGGUGAUAAUUCACUUUUUAAAGAUUAGGAAAUUGAGGAUCAGUGAGCUAAAGUUACUUAUUCACGAUCCCAGUAAGCAAACAUGGGUUCUAACCAAGUCUUCUAACUCCAGUGCCUCUAUUCUAAUUUAUCAAUUCAGCAAAUUUCUUUACUGUGACCUGUGACACUAGACAGUUUGCUGGGAUGCAAUCAUCACUAAAACAGACACAGUCUCUCUAACCACAGGACCUUUAAAUGUAGCAGGCCUUUAGACAUUAAAACAUUAUUUUGGUGAGUAUUAGCAAAGAAAGUUCAUGAUUGUCCUUAGAGACUAUAAGGGAAACCAAGCCUUCCUAGAAGUUUUUUUUUUUUUCUUUCCUGAAGACAUAACAUUUAAUUGGAAGGAAAAGUGAAACCUAGGUAGGCUAUAGAGAAGGAGGAAUAGGAAUUCCACAUGGUAGAAAUCUCAUGAGUAAGAGCCUGGAGGCUGAAAAAGGAAAUGAUGUCCAAUGUGGUUUGAGGGGAUUGAGUAAGGGGGAGAGGGUGUGGGAGGGUUUGGGAGAUGAGAAAAUGCAUCCUGGAUCUCACUGGCCCCGAUCUUAAGGACUCAGGACAUUUGUUCAUGGACUGCAGAAGCUGCCAAUGGAAUAGAGUGAUGGAUUUACAUUUGAAAACAUAACUGGCAGAGGGGAUUCAUUAUAGAGGAGUCAUGCUUCUAUGGAAGAGGAGGGAAUGGAAGAGAAGAGACCCCAGGGCAACAUCCUGAAGAACCCUCCAUUAUGAGUGUGGAGGAAAUUAUUUGAAAUUACAGCUGGUCCAUCCCACCUCUCAACUGGCAGAGUCAACACUAACCUUGAAAUUGGUAGAGAAGAUAGCAGACUGCUUCCUGCAGACAAGAGGAAAAACAAUUUUUUAAUUGUAGUUUCUAACCCAAAGGCCUCUUCCAAAGACUGCUUGGCUGAAUUAUAUAGAAACUUAUUAAUAAACAGAAAUUGUCUGCAAAAACUAUCUAGAGCUAUAGAACUGUUUAGUCAGAGGAACUUUUUUUUUUUUUUCUAUUCAAUACAAAACAGGUAUUGUCUUGGAGAGUAUUUAUAUCUCCUGAUGUACUUGAUAUGUAACGUACUGAUACUACAGGUUAUUGGUCUAACUGUGGAAGGCCCUGCAGUACACCAGGGAAGGACCUCAUCAUCCAUAGGUUUAACUUAUGCCCAACUCGCUCCUGGGACACUGUGGGAAUAAGUGUUUGUUUGCAAGCAAAAUACGGAGGUUGUGGGAGUGGUUAUUUCCUUUGGCAGUACCAUUGGCAUUUAUGGAGGAGACCAAAAAUGGAAGAUGAAACCACUGUAUUAAAAAAUUCAGUCAUAAAAAAAGAAUCAAAUAAUUCCAUCGCAGCAACAUGGAUGGACCUAGAGAUCAUCAUACUAAGUGAAGUUAGUGAAAGACAAACAUCAUAUGAUAUCACUUAUAUGU
rnacentral:lncRNA from 1 species